rnacentral:rRNA from 1 species
GACGAACGCUGGCGGCGUGCUUAACUCAUGCAAGUCGAGCGGUAAGGCUCCUUCGGGAGUACACGAGCGGCGAACGGGUGAGUAACACGUGAGCAAUCUGCCCUUCACUCUGGGAUAACCCUCGGAAACGAGAGCUAAUACCGGAUACGAUCACUUCAGGCAUCUGAUGGUGAUGGAAAGUUCCGGCGGUGAAGGAUGAGCUCGCGGCCUAUCAGCUUGUCGGUGAGGUAAUGGCUCACCAAGGCUUCGACGGGUAGCCGGCCUGAGAGGGUGACCGGCCACACUGGGACUGAGACACGGCCCAGACUCCUACGGGAGGCAGCAGUGGGGAAUAUUGGACAAUGGGCGAAAGCCUGAUCCAGCAACGCCGCGUGAGGGAUGACGGCCUUCGGGUUGUAAACCUCUUUCAGCACAGACGAAGCGCAAGUGACGGUAUGUGCAGAAAAAGGACCGGCCAACUACGUGCCAGCAGCCGCCGUAAAAC